rnacentral:rRNA from 1 species
UGGGGAAUCAUGGUCAAUGGGCGAAAGCCUGAACCUGCGACGCCGCGUGAGUGAUGAAGGUCGUAAGAUCGUAAAACUCUUUUCAGGGAUCUUAAAGCCUGUCUGUCAACAACAGGCAGGCCUGACUCUCCCUGGAAGAAGCCCCAGCCAACUACGUGCCAGCCGCUGCGGUAAUACGUAGGGGGCGAGCGUUAUUCGGCAUUACUGGGUGAAAAGGGUAUGUAGGCGGCCCUUCAAGUCGCGUGUCAAAGUCCAGUGCUCAACGCUGGGUGUGCACGCGAUACUGACGGGCUUGAGGGCUGGAGAGGUGAGCGGAAUACCCGGUGUAGUGGUAAAAUACGUAGAGAUCGGGAGGAACACCAGCGGCGCAGGCGGCUCACUAGACAGUUUCUGACGCUAAGAUACGAAAGCGUGGGGAGCAAACA